AUUGAACGCUGGCGGGAGGCCUAACACAUGCAAGUCGAGCGAGCGGCGGACGGGUGAGAAAUGUCUGGGAAACUGCGUGCUGGAGGGGGGUAAAUACUGGAAACGGUAGCUAAUACCGCAUACCAUCAGAGAUGCGCAGAUGGGGUUAGAUAGUAGGUGGGGUAACGGCUCACAUAGACGACGAUCCCUAGCUGGUCUGAGAGGAUGAGCAGCCACACUGGAACUGAGACACGGUCCAGACUCCGACGGGAGGCAGCAGUGGGGAAUAUUGCACAAUGGGCGCAAGCCGGAUGCAGCCAUGCCGCGUGUGUGAAGAAGGCCUUCGGGUUGUAAAGCACUUUCAGCGGGGAGGCGUUACCCGCAGAAGAAGCACCGGCUAACUCCGUGCCAGCAGCCGCGGUAAUUC
rnacentral:rRNA from 1 species